CUCAUGCCAGACAUUCUGAUGGAAUCUGGCUGGAGUGGGGCCUGGUUUGCUCUCCUUUGGCCAGAAGCUAUUCUACUUUGGAACCAUGGAUCACAUCUGUUGGAACCCAUGAGAAUCUUAAGGUGGAAGAAAAGAAUGUCCAGUGAAGUUGAACUAGGAGCAGUAGGCUCUACCUCUGUAUACAUAAUGCAGACAAUAGUGUGGGACUUUAAAGACAAUAGUGCAG